rnacentral:lncRNA from 1 species
CUUCUCUGGACUAUCUCGUAACCCAUCUGUGAAGCAGGGAGAAGUCCAAGCUUCCUCAUGAAGAGGAUCACAUCAAGACGAAGUCUCACUCUGUCACCCAGGCUGCAGUGCAGUGGCACGAUCUCGGCUCACUACAACCUCCACCUCCCAGGUUUAAGCGAUUCUCCUGCCUCACCCUCCUGAGUAGCUGGGAUUACAGAGUGAAGCCAAAGGCACAGGAAGCACAGCUGGAAUGGGGACAUAGGAACGCGGGGGCUCCCAUGAGUUGACCGGACAACUGAGAGAUGGCAACCUAGACCUGGGGGACAAAAUAUGCUAUGUUUUCGUGAAUCCAUGAUUCGACCUGAAGAAGAAGGAAAGAACUGGACAUCCAGAUGAGUACAUUGAUAUCGAAGAAAAAAAGAGGAGGGAGCACACAGGUGAGCAGGUGCAGGAACCAGCCGGACAAUUUGCCGCCAGCAGGAAUGAACUCCAAGCAGGCCCCACUGCAGUAUCCAGGUCGGGGUGCCUGUGACUUCUGAAGCCACAGAGGCAUUCUUUUGCUACUUACAUGGUGGAACUCCUUGAACAGAAUAACAGACCAUAGUGCCUGCCUGGAAUUCAGACUGGAAAAGAUUGAAAUAUCUGUGUAGUUCAUAUAUCUGAAACACUGACUUCAUCUCACUCAUGAGAAUUCAACAGUUAUGCUAAAGAUUGUGUUAUGGGAGCUCCUAGAGAGCUAGUCCAUCAGGCUCUAAAUUUUUAAACGUGUAAGUUUCAGAAUCACAGAAAUCUUAGAAGAUAUUGAACAGCUAAAGCUUUGAAGCAACGAGACUUUAGAUCCUCUCUCCUCAUUCCUAUUUUCCUCAUCAUAUCAACCUUUUUAAGAAGCAGAAGAAUGAUGAAAGAGAUGGGGCCAACACUCUCAGAGGUGAGAAAAACAGCUGAGCACUGUGGAGGCGGAAGAUACAGAGAGCUCCAUUGCAGCCACAGUGAUGGAUGGCAUCGAUAGAGAAAAUCCCACAAAAGAGCUUGACUUUUCUCAUGAAUCUGCAGUUUCUUCCGAAAAAGUGAAAUUUUAUCAAAUGUUGAGACCCAGAAAAGUUAUCUGUAGACUUCAGCCUUUGCAAAAAAAUGGAAGAAACAAUUGAGAAGCAGACACAGAAGUCAAACUUUUUCAAUAAGCUAAAUUGGAAGAAAGGGCUUAGCACACGGUGUUUCCUAAUCUUUCCUGCCAACCAUUUAUUUAAGCUCAGAUCUUGGGAAGCCCAUCUAAGGGCUUCCAAAGAGAAAAUGCUACUUAUCAAGAAUCAUGCCUUUCCUGUUGCAGAGUAGAAGUAAACAAAAUCAAGAAAUCUCCAAUGCUCACACAAUUUUAACAGGUUUGGCCAAUACAACAGAGACGUGAAAACCAACAGAUGUCCCCCACCAAUCCAGGAAUGAGUGAAUUCUUGCUCUAUCAGGACCUGUGAGACUUCCCUCAAGAGCUGGUUGUUAAAAAGAGCCUAGGACCUCUUCCCUCUCUUGCUUCCUCUCUUGCCUUGUGAUCUUCACAUCCUGACUCUCCUUCACCUUCCACUCUGAGUGGAAGUUUCCUGAGGCUCUCGCAAGAAGCAGAUAUCGGCACCAUGCUUCUUUUACAGUCUUCAUAGUCCUGAGAACAAAACAGUUCAGAUCAACUCAACAAUAUUCCAAGUGGGCUUUGCAGAGCAUCUUCUGGACUAAGUAGAAGGAGAAGGAGAAGGAGCCAGACCUUCCCUGUGGCCAUGCUUUCUCUAAAACAGCCCUGAUGACUUACUUUUUCAGGUUGAGCUGCAGGUAAGACACUGUUCUGGGGCUCCCAGAAUCCCUCAGAUCUUCCAAGAGAGAUGAAAACCUCCAUCCCCAAAAAGAGAAAACUCUCUAUUUUCAAGUGGACUGUUCCUAUCAAGAGAAUUCUAUGAAAUGUUAAUUUUUUUAAACUUAUAAUAUUGAUUCUUUUCUGUAUAAAGAAAAUGAGAAGCA